rnacentral:rRNA from 1 species
GAUGAACGCUAGCGGCAGGCCUAAUACAUGCAAGUCGAACGGUAGGUUAAAUGCUUGCAUUUAACUGAGAGUGGCGCACGGGUGCGUAACGCGUAUGCAACCUACCCUUAACAGGGGGAUAGCCCGGAGAAAUUCGGAUUAAUACCCCAUAGUAUCUUUUGAUGGCAUCUGAAGAAGAUUAAAGAUUUAUUGGUUAAGGAUGGGCAUGCGUGACAUUAGUUAGUUGGUGAGGUAAUGGCUCACCAAGACGAUGAUGUCUAGGGGUUCUGAGAGGAUGAUCCCCCACACUGGUACUGAGAUACGGACCAGACUCCUACGGGAGGCAGCAGUAGGGAAUAUUGGUCAAUGGGCGAGAGCCUGAACCAGCCAUGCCGCGUGCAGGAAGACGGCCUUCUGGGUUGUAAACUGCUUUUAUCAGGGAACAAAUAGGCCAUGCGUGGCAAGUUGAGUGUACCUGAAGAAUAAGCACCGGCUAACUCCG